rnacentral:rRNA from 1 species
AUACGUAGGGGGCGAGCGUUGUCCGGAAUGAUUGGGCGUAAAGGGCGCGUAGGCGGCGCGGUAAGUCUGGAGUGAAAGUCCUGCUUUCAAGGUGGGAAUUGCUUUGGAUACUGCCGCGCUUGAGUGCAGGAGAGGUUAUCGGAAUUCCCGGUGUAGCGGUGAAAUGCGUAGAGAUCGGGAGGAACACCAGUGGCGAAGGCGGGUAACUGGACUGCAACUGACGCUGAGGCGCGAAAGUGUGGGGAGCAAACAGGAUUAGAUACCCUGGUAGUCCACACGGUAAACGAUGAAUGCUAGGUGUAAGAGGUAUCGACCCCUUUUGUGCCGGAGUUAACACAAUAAGCAUUCCGCCUGGGGAGUACGGCCGCAAGGUUGAAACUCAAAUGAAUUGGCGGGG